rnacentral:rRNA from 1 species
GACGAACGCUGGCGGCGUGCUUAACACAUGCAAGUCGAACGGAAAGGCCUGCUUUCCCUUGUGGAUUGCGGUUACUCGAGUGGCGAACGGGUGAGUAACACGUGAGUGAUCUGCCCCCAACUUGGGUAUAAGCCUGGGAAACUGGGUCUAAUUCCCGAUAGGACUGCAGGGUGGUGCCUGUGGUGGAAAACGAUUUUCUAGUGGUUGGGGAUGAGCUCGCGGCCUAUCAGCUUGUUGGUGGGGUAAUGGCCUACCAAGGCGGCGACGGGUAGCCGGCCUGGGAGGGUGGACGGCAACAUUGGGACGGAGAUACGGCCCAGACUCCUACGGGAGGCAGCAGUGGGGAAUAUUGCACAAUGGGCGGAAGCCUGAUGCAGCGACGCCGCGUGGGGGAUGACGGCCUUCGGGUUGUAAACUCCUUUCGACCGCGAGGAAGCCACCUGGUUGGAAGGGUGGUGACGGUAGUGGUAGAAGAAGCACCGGCUAACUACGUG